GAUCUGAAAGGGUGCUACAGACUGAGUGUGAUGUCACACCUGGGCUGUAAGUCCCCUGGACAGUGGUGCCAGCUACAGGAGUGAGCGGGGUCCUAGCAUCAGCUACUGGAGACCCCAUUCACUGGCUAGAAUGGGGUCUUCUUCUUCCAGUCACUGGGACAAGAAUGGUGUCUGUUCCCAAACCAGCUACUGCAGGGAGUGACUGGCAUAAGUAAGGCAAACGCAGGGCUCCUCACCUGCGGCUGGAGCAAAGCUGCAGGUCACAGGCCUGGUGCCAGCUGCUGGGGACCGAGUAUCUGUAUCUUCCCCAACCUGGUCUUAUUGUCGAAGAGUUGAAUUUAUUACAUAUACACAUCCUAGAGUCUCACUGGAGCCUGAGGCUGACAACGCCAGACAUCGUCAAGAGAUCUAGGAAGAGAAAGGAUCAUGUCAAAUCAUCAACAUCAAGAGGUCUUUGCUUGGAGGAAUAUGAUGCUUGUUUGAUUGCUGUUUCGUCAUCCUUCACGUUAUUUUUACACUUAAAAAAAAUAAAAAAUAAAAAGUCUGCUUUUCUUCUAGUUGAUUUCUAACUAUCCAUUCUUUUUUGUUCCUUGAUAGCUGUAAAGGUCUUACUUCUUCACUCUGGGGCAAUUGUAUUAUGCUUUAUUCUAGAGUCAUAGACUGUUCAUUCUACAGAGAAUAAUUACUUAUCUAUUAACAGUAGACUUCAUAUCACACAAUUGUACAAAACUGAACAAAAUGCAAAACAGAUCAAUUACAAAACAGAUACAAAGCAGUUACCUGACUACUAGGCAAUUGGUAUCAUAGCUGAAAAAAGGUAAAACCAGCUCAGGCCUACACACAUCCAGGGGAAUUCUAAGACUUAGUACUGUCAGGCCAGUAAAAAUCUUGUGUGUUUUAACUAGCAUAAUCAUACUUCCAGAGAUACAUGUCCAGUUAUGCUUCCCUUAUUUAUUUGAUCACUCUCCUCCAGUAAAGUAAAGGAUGGAAACUGAACAGUGCCAGAAUUUCUGAUCAUACAAAAUAAGAUCAAAUUAACAGCAAGUUUGGAACAGGAGAAUAACUGAUGUUAAAUCUAAGUCUUAUUCUUGAUUUGACAUAAUUAUUAGUAAUAGUUACUUCUGAGCAAACAUAGUAAAAGCAACAGGAAUGUAAAGAGAAAUAUAUAUCAACAAAACCCCAGGCUUAAGUAUGCUGUCACUUCUUAAAAAAAAAAAAAAAAAAAAAAAAAAAGGGUAGCUUUUAUUGUUCUGUGUACUAGUUUGAUAAGGGAAAACCUCAGCUUCAUGAUAGCUUCCUCUUAAUGAAAGGUUUUUCAUUAGCAGGAUCUUCUGCCUUGUGUGUCCUUCCUGGGGUUUGCAUUCUCUAUGAUGAGGAUGGCUGAAACAGAUUUUUCUGACACUACUGCAUCAACGCCGUGACCCAGGCUUUGUGCUUUUUCUAACAGAGGCAGAAAGGACCUUUCACAUUGCAUUAAGGAAACUGUCUGUCUAUAAAUGUAUCACUUCUGCUUUUGGGAUGUUAGCAAUAUAACUUGGGCUGUAUUCAUCUGGGGUAUGAAAACAAUAUUUCAGAUUGUAACAGUCAUUUUUCAAAUUUAAAUGCUAUGUCACUUUCCCCGGGUUUGGAUCAGUAAUGGUUUACAAGUUUCUUCAAAGAAAGUUCUUCAACAGAUAGAAAUACAAUGUAUGCUUUACUGAAAAAAAAAAAAUGACCUUGCAAACCUCCUGCAAUUUGCUUACGACAUUGUUAUAGUAAUUUGUCCUGCUAAGGUACAGGUACAGAAGCAAACUGAGAGGUCAUUGUGGCCAAAGUAAAUUUUCAGUAUAAAUAGUUAAUGCAAACAGUUGGGAGGCUGAAAAUUUAAAAACAAACAAACAAAAAAUAGCCAGCACCACACCUCACCCAAAACAAACAAACAAACUAACAAACAAACAAAAAGUUAAGCUUUCUACAAAUAAUAAAUAGCUGAGGCAGGGAGACA
rnacentral:lncRNA from 1 species